UUAGGACUCAAUCUCAGGUGGAAAAGUG
rnacentral:piRNA from 1 species